GGUACAUUUCGUUACUGCAGCCCAUUCGGUCCUGUGAGGCUGGAGCUGAGCUGUGUUCCUCUUUUGCUUGUGUAUUUUCUAUUUUUGAGAUUUUUUUGUUUGUUAUUUUUGGGAGGAGUGAAUUUUUAAAAUUUAUAAUCAAUAUGUCGGUGGCAUUUGCAGCUCAUAGGCAGCGGGGAAAGGGCGACAUAACACCCGCGGGGAUACAGAAGCUCCUAGAUGAGAACAAUCAGCUUAUUCAGUGCAUCAUGGACUUCCAGAGCAAAGGGAAGACGGCAGAAUGCUCACAGUAUCAACAGAUGCUUCACAGAAAUCUGGUUUAUCUGGCCACAAUAGCAGAUUCUAAUCAGAACAUGCAGUCCCUGCUUCCUGCUAGGUCUGAACCCCCCAGCACUGAGAUAAAGCAUGAACCCCCUGCACAGAACAUGCCCUUGGGUCCCGGAGGGAUGAGUCAGAGUGGGCCCCCACAGCCGCCACCCCCCCACGGCCACGGCAUGCCCAACGAUGGUAUGGUCGGCGGAGGCCCCCCGGCUCCCCAUAUGCAGAAUCCAAUGAACGGCCAGAUGCACGCCCCCAAUCACAUGCCCAUGCAGGGCCCGGGACCCAACCAGCCCAACAUGCCCGGGGCGUCCAUGAACAUGCCCCCAAACAGUCACGGCUCAAUGGGCGGCUACAGCCACACCGUGCCCUCAUCGCAGGGCAUGCCCGUGCCCAAUCAGAUGAACAUGAGCCAGGGCCAGCCAAUGGGCAACUACGGGCCGCGACCUGGCAUGAACAUGCAGCCCAAUCAAGGCCCCAUGAUGCACCAGCAGCCCCCGGCCCAGCAGUAUAACAUGCCUCCUGGGGGUGGUCCACACUACCCGGGCCAGCAGAACCCCAUGGCCAUGAUGGGUCAGGUGAACCAGGGGAACCACGUCAUGGGUCAGAGGCCCAUGCCCCCGUAUCGACCGCCACAGCAGGGGCCGCCCCAGCAGUACCCGGGCCAGGAGGAUUACUACGGAGAACAGUACAACCACGCAGGACAGGGAGCACCGGAAGCGAAUGCUCAGUACGGCCAGCAGCAGGAAACGUACCAGCAGGGCCCCCCACCGCAGCAGGGCUACCCUCCCCAGCAGCAGCAGCCACAGCAACAACCCCCACAGCCCCAGCCUCAGCAGCCGUACCCGGGCCAGCAGGGAUACCCCCCGCAGCAGCAGGGAUAUGGUGCCUCUCAGGGAGGUGCAGGACAGUAUCCAAACUACCCCCAGGGACAGGGUCAGCAGUAUGGAGCCUACAGGCCCCCACAGCCAGCCCCCCCCCAAGCCCAGCAACAGCGCUCUUAUGGCUACGACCAGGUAGGUGGAGAGGUAAAGGUUCCCGGGUAGCUGUGGGAGGCCAUGCCCUUGUGCUUUGGCCUGACUUUGAUGGCCUGCCCCAACCAGGAGGUGAUGUGCAUGCCAGUAUUUUGAAAUGUUUUCAGUGUAGUGCUACGCCAUCCGGGCCUUGUUAGUGGCUAAAUGGUUAGCAUGGGAGCUAAUUCUGUCAGGGAGUGUCAGGAUGUCAUGUGAUCAGCCCCGGCCAAUGGUGUGUGGGAGCCUGCUGUAUUGACACAGGCCCUGCUGACUCGAGCAGUACUCGCUGAAGCCUGCAGGAGCCGCCGGAGGACCACACACUGCCACCCCGAGUCCAGGGUGGCUCUCGCUGGGGGAGCCCCAGCUGUAUUUUUCAUAUCUUUAUUUUUGAAAUUCAGGCUCACAUGAGGAAAUAAGGACCAGGUCUUUGAACCCCUGACUUUAACUAAAACACGUGAAGGGUCAGUAUGGAAGUUACCAGCAGUGAAGGGUGAAGGUCUUUCUCUUGUGCACAAGCCUGUGAUGCCAGCCGCUCGUGGCCCUCAGGACUGGAUUGCCUCCAGGAGUGAACCUCUUCCUUCACCCUGCUCUCCGGAUCCGUACCCCCCCGCCUGCAUUCCAGCAGAGUCCUCUGCUCUCGUCUCUUCUUUCCUUUCUUUUGAAGCCCUCUCAUGUUUAAACUUCCUAAAUUGGGGAUUGCCACUCUCAGCGGCGGCAUCGCCAGUCGGUACGUUCGGUAUUCCCCGGUCAAGUCCGUCUGUAAAUCUGUCUCUGUAAUAUCGACCAGCGAAAGUGGCCAAGUCUUGUCGCUCUGCCAGUGCUUUUAAAUCUGCCCCCACGCUGCGAUGCCUUAAAUGUUAACGAAACGGGGUCGGGCUGAGUUGAGAGUGACGAGCCGCCUUAUUCUAAAGUUCAGAUCACAGAUGUAUGUCCGUCUUCAUUUCCUGCUAGCUGACUAACCCUUGUUGUGCGGUUCUGUGUGAUUUUUUUUUUAAUUAUUAUUAUUCCCCCCCCCCCAGUUUAAGCAAAGCAAUAAGUUGGACAUCGUUUUUGUCCUUGUGAUAUAAGACGUAACAUGGAGAGGCAAACUUUUGUAUGAAAUUCAUUUGAAUAACCGAUGUACAAAUGUAUUUUAUGCUUUUAGAUAGAAUUAAAUUUGUAUAGUGAUCUGGAGUCUAGUACAGGAUAUUUUCAUGUUGAGUGUUUUGAAUUUAAAUGUGUUUUUUUUUGUAAGCUGUGACCGUUUUUUGUCCCUUUUUUUAUACAUAUAAUUUUACGUAUCAUGAAUAUCGGUUUCAUGCACUAGACAUGUUACACACUCUGGUAAAGUUGACAUGUUUUCCUAUGAAAACACACCUUCACGUGUAUUUUAAUGGUCUGCCCAUAGAGGGCACCAUUUCAACAGACUUGCACUGUUGCUUUCGGGUUGCGUGUGUUCUGCCAUGCAACAGAGAGUCCGCACCCGCUCCAGGUGAGGCCGGAUCAGAUGUCCCCCCUCCCCUUCAGCUCUCUGGACACGUUUAAGGUCGCUGGCUAGCAGUGCAAAGCGCCGCGCCCUUGCGAUGGUCGCGAGUCGUCUAAAGAUCAUGUUGCCCUGAGCCUUCUCCACCGCGGGAGCUUAAAGGGCACCGCUGGGAACUGCGGGUCUCCGUCUGACCGCUGCUGAGCUUCUCACAAGGUCAUGUGCUGUACUAAUCUGCAGGACCUCCAUACCUUUGUCUGUACCGUAACAUCUGGAUUUUUUUUCCCUUGACCACUGAAUGCAAAGCUGUAUGUCCCAAGAUUUGAACAAUAAAUAAAUUAUUGUAAUUUUU